rnacentral:rRNA from 1 species
AGAGUUUGAUCAUGGCUCAGAACGAACGCUGGCGGCAGGCCUAACACAUGCAAGUCGAACGCCGUAGCAAUACGGAGUGGCAGACGGGUGAGUAACACGUGGGAACAUGCCCUUCGGUUCGGAAUAACUCAGGGAAACUUGAGCUAAUAACGGAUACGCCCAAGGUUUUACCUUGGAGAAAGAUUUAUCGCCGAAGGAUUGGCCCGCGUCUGAUUAGCUAGUUGGUGGGGUAAUGGCUCACCAAGGCGACGAUCAGUAGCUGGUCUGAGAGGAUGAUCAGCCACAUUGGGACUGAGACACGGCCCAAACUCCUACGGGAGGCAGCAGUGGGGAAUAUUGGACAAUGGGCGCAAGCCUGAUCCAGCCAUGCCGCGUGAGUGAUGAAGGCCUUAGGGUUGUAAAGCUCUUUUACCCGGGAAGAUAAUGACGGUACCGGGAGAAUAAGCCCCGGCUAACUUCGUGCCAGCAGCCGCGGUAAUACGAAGGGGGCUAGCGUUGUUCGGAAUCACUGGGCGUAAAGCGCACGUAGGCGGAUCCUUAAGUCAGGGGUGAAAUCCCGAGGCUCAACCUCGGAACUGCCUUUGAUACUGGGGAUCUUGAGUCCGGGAGAGGUGAGUGGAAUUGCGAGUGUAGAGGUGAAAUUCGUAGAUAUUCGCAAGAACACCAGUGGCGAAGGCGGCUCACUGGCCCGGUACUGACGCUGAGGUGCGAAAGCGUGGGGAGCAAACAGGAUUAGAUACCCUAGUAGUCC